CCUACGGGAGGCAGCAGUGGGGAAUAUUGGACAAUGGGCGAAAGCCUGAUCCAGCAAUGCCGCGUGAGUGAUGAAGGCCUUAGGGUUGUAAAGCUCUUUUACCCGGGAUGAUAAUGACAGUACCGGGAGAAUAAGCUCCGGCUAACUCCGUGCCAGCAGCCGCGGUAAUACGGAGGGAGCUAGCGUUGUUCGGAAUUACUGGGCGUAAAGCGCACGUAGGCGGCUACUCAAGUCAGAGGUGAAAGCCCAGGGCUCAACCCUGGAACUGCCUUUGAAACUAGGUAGCUAGAAUCUUGGAGAGGUCAGGGGAAUUCCGAGUGUAGAGGUGAAAUUCGUAGAUAUUCGGAAGAACACCAGUGGCGAAGGCGACUGACUGGACAAGUAUUGACGCUGAGGUGCGAAAGCGUGGGGAGCAAGCAGGAUUAGAUACCCUGGUAGUCCACGCCGUAAACGAUGAUAACUAACUGUUCGGGUACUUGGUACCUGAGUGGCGCAGCUACGACAUUAAGUUAUUCCGUCCGUCGGGUAGGUACGGUCGGCGAAGAAUUAAAACUUAAAAGGUAAAGUUAGUACGGCGUGAGACGUGCCGACGACGACGACGAGGGAGUAGG
rnacentral:rRNA from 1 species